rnacentral:rRNA from 1 species
UAGGGAAUAUUGGACAAUGGGUGAGAGCCUGAUCCAGCCAUGCCGCGUGCAGGAAGAAGGCGUUAUGCGUUGUAAACUGCUUUUUGCCAGGGGAUAAAAUGACCGUGCGCGGUUAAUUGAAGGUACCUGGUGAAUAAGCCACGGCUAACUACGUGCCAGCAGCCGCGGUAAUACGUAGGUGGCAAGCGUUGUCCGGAUUUAUUGGGUUUAAAGGGUGCGUAGGUGGCCCUGUAAGUCAGUGGUGAAAUAUCUCAGCUUAACUGAGAGGGUGCCAUUGAUACUGCAGGGCUUGAGUACAGAUGAGGUAGGCGGAAUUGACGGCGUAGCGGUGAAAUGCAUAGAUAUCGUCAAGAGCACCGAUAGCGAAGGCAGCUUACCAAGCUGUAACUGACACUGAGGCACGAAAGUGUGGGGAUCAAACAGGAUUAGAUACCCGUGUAGUCCCUGAGCGGGCUGGCAAGGCG